CAAUAGCGUAUAUUAAUGUUGUUGCAGUUAAAAAGCUCGUAGCCGACUCUCGGGGCGGUGUCAACGGUCCGCAGAAAUGUGAGCACUGUUGUCUCCGCCUCUUCCUUCUGGACACCAUGUCUUCUCUUAACUGAGCGGAUGUGGGGGCCAGAUCGUUCACUUUGAACAAAUUAGAGUGUUCAAAGCAGGCCUACGCUUGAAUACAUUAGCAUGGAAUAAUGGAAUAGGACUUUGGUGCUAUUUUGUUGGUUUAUGGGACCGAAGUAAUGAUUAACAGGGACAGUUGGGGCCGUUUAUAUUUCGUUGUCAGAGGUGAAAUUCUUGGAUUUACGAAAGAUAAACUUCUGCGAAAGCAUUCGGCAAGGAUGUUUUCAUUGAUCAAGAACGAAAGUUAGGGGAUCGAAGACGAUCAGAU
rnacentral:rRNA from 1 species